UACGAAGGGGGCUAGCGUUGUUCGGAAUUACUGGGCGUAAAGCGCACGUAGGCGGGUUGUUAAGUCAGGGGUGAAAUCCCGGAGCUCAACUCCGGAACUGCCUUUGAUACUGGCAAUCUAGAGACUGGAAGAGGUUAGUGGAAUUCCCAGUGUAGAGGUGAAAUUCGUAGAUAUUGGGAAGAACACCAGUGGCGAAGGCGGCUAACUG
rnacentral:rRNA from 1 species